AUUGAACGCUGGCGGCAGGCCUAACACAUGCAAGUCGAGCGGGGUUUUCGGACCUAGCGGCGGACGGGUGAGUAAUGCGUAGGAAGCUGCCCGAUAGAGGGGGAUACCAGUUGGAAACGACUGUUAAUACCGCAUAAUGUCUACGGACCAAAGUGUGGGACCUUCGGGCCACAUGCUAUCGGAUGCGCCUACGUGGGAUUAGCUAGUUGGUGAGGUAAUGGCUCACCAAGGCGACGAUCUCUAGCUGGUUUGAGAGGAUGAUCAGCCACACUGGAACUGAGACACGGUCCAGACUCCUACGGGAGGCAGCAGUGGGGAAUAUUGGACAAUGGGCGCAAGCCUGAUCCAGCCAUGCCGCGUGUGUGAAGAAGGCCUUCGGGUUGUAAAGCACUUUCAGCGAGGAGGAAGGGGUGUGUGUUAAUAGUACACACCUUUGACGUUACUCGCAGAAGAAGCACCGGCUAACUCUGUGCCAGCCGCCGCGGUAAAAC
rnacentral:rRNA from 1 species